UACAGAGGUCCCGAGCGUUGUUCGGAUUCAUUGGGCGUAAAGAGCUUGUAGGCGGUUUGUCGCGUCUGCUGUGAAAAUCCGGGGCUCAACCCCGGACUUGCAGUGGGUACGGGCAGGCUAGAGUGUGGUAGGGGAGACUGGAAUUCCUGGUGUAGCGGUGAAAUGCGCAGAUAUCAGGAGGAACACCGAUGGCGAAGGCAGGUCUCUGGGCCACUACUGACGCUGAGAAGCGAAAGCAUGGGGAGCGAACAGG
rnacentral:rRNA from 1 species